GAUGAACGCUGGCGGCGUGCCUAAUACAUGCAAGUCGAGCGAACGGACGAGAAGCUCGCUUCUCUGAUGUUAGCGGCGGACGGGUGAGUAACACGUGGAUAACCUACCUAUAAGACUGGGAUAACUUCGGGAAACCGGAGCUAAUACCGGAUGAUAUUUUGAACCGCAUGGUUCAAAAGUGAAAGACGGUCUUGCUGUCACUUAUAGAUGGAUCCGCGCUGCAUUAGCUAGUUGGUAAGGUAACGGCUUACCAAGGCAACGAUGCAUAGCCGACCUGAGAGGGUGAUCAGCCACACUGGAACUGAGACACGGUCCAGACUCCUACGGGAGGCAGCAGUGGGGAAUCUUCCGCAAUGGGCGCAAGCCUGACGGAGCAACGCCGCGUGAGUGAUGAAGGUCUUCGGAUCGUAAAGCUCUGUUAUUAGGGAAGAACAUAUGUGUAAGUAACUGUGCACAUCUUGACGGUACCUAAACAGAAAGCCACGGCUAACUUCGUG
rnacentral:rRNA from 1 species